CCAGCAGUGCAAUGCACACCCAUUGCCUCAUGAUGACCAAAUAAUGCAAAGGCUUACAGAUGGCCACAUAGCGGUCAUAGGCCAUCACCAGCAGAAGAAAGACCUCUGAUCCACCAAAAAAGUGCUCUGUAAAGAGCUGAGCCAUACAAGAUUGGAAGGAUAUGGUAUUUUCCCCAAAGAACAAGUUUGAAAUCAGUUUGGGGGAUAUAGAUGAGGAAUAAAUGACAUCUAUAAAUGACAAGCUACCAAGAAAAAAGUACAUUGGUGAGCCCAGGCUCUUACUGAAAGUUACAGUCACAACAAUGAGCAUGUUGCCUAUCAUGGUCAAAAUAUAGAAGAGCAAGAACAUAAAAAAAAGAACUGUCUGCUCCUUUGUAUUCUGCGUGAGACCCAAGAGGACAAAGUGUUUUCAUGGAAAUCAAACCAACAAAUGCAUCACUUUCAAGUCUUUGGAGAAGUGAGAGGAAAGUGUAGCUCCAUCAAUCCCAAAUACAAAGACUAAAGAGAUGACAGAAUAUUUCAGUAUUGAAUUAAAAAUAUCACUUACAAAUACAGUGAUCUUUCAAGAUGGA
rnacentral:lncRNA from 1 species